rnacentral:rRNA from 1 species
UACGUAGGUGGCAAGCGUUCUCCGGAUUUAUUGGGCGUAAAGGGAACGCAGGCGGUCUUUUAAGUCUGAUGUGAAAGCCUUCGGCUUAACCGGAGUAGUGCAUUGGAAACUGGGAGACUUGAGUGCAGAAGAGGAGAGUGGAACUCCAUGUGUAGCGGUGAAAUGCGUAGAUAUAUGGAAGAACACCAGUGGCGAAAGCGGCUCUCUGGUCUGUAACUGACGCUGAGGUUCGAAAGCGUGGGUAGCAAACAGG